rnacentral:rRNA from 1 species
CCUACGGGGUGCAGCAGUCGAGAAUCAUUCACAAUGGGGGAAACCCUGAUGGUGCGACGCCGCGUGGGGGAAUGAAGGUCUUCGGAUUGUAAACCCCUGUCAUGUGGGAGCAAAUUAAAAAGAUAGUACCACACGAGGAAGAGACGGCUAACUCUGUGCCAGCAGCCGCGGUAAUACAGAGGUCUCAAGCGUUGUUCGGAAUCACUGGGCCUAAAGCGUGCGUAGGCUGAUUCCUAAGUCGUGUGUGAAAGGCGCGGGCUCAACCCGCGGACGGCACAUGAUACUGCGAGACUAGAGUAAUGGAGGGGGAACCGGAAUUCUCGGUGUAGCAGUGAAAUGCGUAGAUAUCGAGAGGAACACUCGUGGCGAAGGCGGGUUCCUGGACAUUAACUGACGCUGAGGCACGAAGGCCAGGGGAGCGAAAGGGAUUAGAUACCCUGGUAGUC